CCGCGGGAUUAGAGUUUGAUCCUGGCUCAGAACGAACGCUGGCGGCGUGCCUAACACAUGCAAGUCGAGCGAGAAAAGGGCUUCGGCCCCGAGUAAAGCGGCGCACGGGUGCGUAACACGUGGGUAAUCUUCCUCCGGGUUUGGAAUAACUCUUCGAAAGGAGAGCUAAUACCAAAUAAGCCCACGAUCUCUUUGGGGAUUGAGGGAAAAGGUGGCCUCUGCAUGCAAGCUAUCACCUGGAGAUGAGCCCGCGGCCCAUCAUGCUAGUUGGCGGGGUAACGGCCCACCAAGGCGACGACGGGUAGCUGGUCUGAGAGGACGAUCAGCCACACUGGAACUGAGACACGGUCCAGACUCCUACGGGAGGCAGCAGUGGGGAAUCUUGCGCAAUGGGCGAAAGCCUGACGCAGCAACGCCGCGUGAGUGAUGAAGGCCUUCGGGUCGUAAAGCUCUUUCGGAAGGGAAGAAACCGGUUCGGAAUAAUAAGCCGAGCCUUUGACGGUACCUUAGGAAGAAGCACCGGCUAACUCUGUGCCAGCAGCCGCGGUAAUACAGAGGGUGCAAGCGUUGUUCGGAAUUAUUGGGCGUAAAGCGCGUGUAGGCGGCAAGGCAUGUCGGGUGUGAAAGCCCUGGGCUUAACCCAGGAAGUGCGCCCGAAACUACUUUGCUUGAGUACUGGAGAGGACGGCGGAACUCCCGGUGUAGAGGUGAAAUUCGUAGAUAUCGGGAAGAACACCAGUGGCGAAGGCGGCCGUCUGGACAGAUACUGACGCUGAGACGCGAAAGCGUGGGGAGCAAACAGGAUUAGAUACCCUGGUAGUCCACGCC
rnacentral:rRNA from 1 species